CAGGGAGACAACAAAAUGUUUAAUAUUAAUUUUGUCACCUUAGGUCGAUCGGUAUCUCAGAUUCUUAGUUAGUUAAGAAUUUCAUUUCCUAAGUUUUUUUCUAGGUCACACCCAUUACUUUUCCUGGGCCAUUAGCUCAGGUGGUUAGAGCGCACCCCUGAUAAGGGUGAGGUCCCUGGUUCAAGUCCGGGAUGGCCCAUAUCUCUAUGUUGGGGGUAUAGCUCAGUUGGUAGAGCGCCUGCUUUGCAAGCAGGAUGUCAGCGGUUCGAGUCCGCUUACCUCCACUGAUUACCACCUCUUCCAUAAUCUGUAGAAAGGAAAUGUUUUGAGUUGUGAUCAAAUUCUGAACGAAUCUAGCUUCCUAAUGAAAACAUUAAGAUGCUGGACUCAUUGAAUUAAUUUCAUUGAUUUCAGAGAACCUUGACAACUGCAUAGAUUAUUUUUAAAGACAAUAAGCAUCUUUAAUGAUGCAGAUUUAUUAUUUGUGCGAAUGCAUUAAUAACAAUUCUAUUAAGCUGAUGCUUCAAUUUUGAAGUUAUU
rnacentral:tRNA from 1 species